rnacentral:rRNA from 1 species
UACCAGCACCCCGAGUGGUCGGGACGAUUUUAUUGGGCCUAAAGGCAUCCGUAGCCGGUUCUACAAGUCUUCCGUUAAAUCCAGCUGCUUCAACAGAUGGGCGUGCGGAAGAUACUAUGGAGCUAGGAGGCGGGAGAGGGCAAGCGGUACUCGAUGGGUAGGGGUAAAAUCCGUUGAUCCAUUGAAGACCACCAGUGGCGAAGGCGGCUUGCCAGAACGCGCUCGACGGUGAGGGAUGAAAGCUGGGGGAGCAAACAGGG